GUGGGGAAUUUUGGACAAUGGGCGAAAGCCUGAUCCAGCCAUGCCGCGUGCAGGAUGAAGGCCUUCGGGUUGUAAACUGCUUUUGUACGGAACGAAAAGACUCUGGUUAAUACCUGGGGUCCAUGACGGUACCGUAAGAAUAAGCACCGGCUAACUACGUGCCAGCAGCCGCGGUAAUACGUAGGGUGCGAGCGUUAAUCGGAAUUACUGGGCGUAAAGCGUGCGCAGGCGGUUAUAUAAGACAGAUGUGAAGUCCCCGGGCUCAACCUGGGAACUGCAUUUGUGACUGUAUAGCUAGAGUACGGCAGAGGGGGAUGGAAUUCCGCGUGUAGCAGUGAAAUGCGUAGAUAUGCGGAGGAACACCGAUGGCGAAGGCAAUCCCCUGGGCCUGUACUGACGCUCAUGCACGAAAGCGUGGGGAGCAAACAGGAUUAGAAACCCGAGUAGUCC
rnacentral:rRNA from 1 species